AUACUUACUUGGUAGGAGCAGUUUGUGAUCAGGUAGGCGGACCGUUCGGUUUAGAACUUGGGCAUUGCACAGCGCCUCAGGGUCUUUGACGCGAACAUCCUUCGGGGUGUCUCUACUGUUAAAUUUUUGUUUAUGGCCUCCUGCCUUU
rnacentral:snRNA from 22 species